UUGAAUAUUAAUCCUCUCAAAAAAAUGUUUGAAGAAAUUUUCUUUUUAUUUAUGAAAUCUGAAAUGAGAAAAAUUUAACCCCCCGUUUUUUUCACAUCCCCCUUUCCCUUUUUCCAAAACUGAUCUCAAUUCAAAUUUCUAAUGGAGUUUGCUACAAUAACUACUCAUUUAAAUACUGUGAAAGUACUUUUAUUCGUGGGGUACCAAUUUUCGUGGUUUUCGUGGAAGACUUUAUCUACGAAUUUAAGUGUCUAACGAAAUAAAACAACCAUU
rnacentral:lncRNA from 1 species